rnacentral:lncRNA from 1 species
UCCAAGGUGCCGCACUCCUCCCACUGUGUCUCUGCAUACACACCCAGCCCCUUCCAGAGCCCCCUCUCCUUCCUGGGGACAGGACGGUGGGACUGGCAGGCUAAGGCUGUACAUGAGAGGGAGCCGACACUGGACUCCUGAUUUCACCAGACAGGUAAAGUGUGACUGAGAGAGGAGAAGCGACCUUCUCAACGCCCCAAGACCAGUGGGUGGCAGAGCCGGAUGUUGAACUCACAUUUCUUUGACACCCAAGCCUGCACUUGUUGAACCGCCCAGGCAGGCAGAGACACAUAGACACAGAAGGAAGAUGAUGUGAGGACACAGGUAGGCCACCACGUGAAGACAGAGGAUGGGUGAUGCACCUACAAGCCAAGGAACACCAAAGAUCGCUGGAAACCUCCA